UACGUAGGGUGCAAGCGUUGUCCGGAUUUAUUGGGCGUAAAGAGCUCGUAGGCGGCUUGUCGCGUCGACUGUGAAAACUUGGGGCUCAACCCCAAGCUUGCAGUCGAUACGGGCAGGCUAGAGUUCGGUAGGGGAGACUGGAAUUCCUGGUGUAGCGGUGAAAUGCGCAGAUAUCAGGAGGAACACCGAUGGCGAAGGCAGGUCUCUGGGCCGAUACUGACGCUGAGGAGCGAAAGCGUGGGGAGCGGACAGG
rnacentral:rRNA from 1 species